rnacentral:pre_miRNA from 1 species
CUGCCGAGUUGUGUUUUUAUUUUCAUUGUCGCAGUUCUCGUAGUUUCUAUAACAAUUUACAGAAUCAAAUCGUUGUAGAAAUUGCGAGAACUGCUACAUAGAAAAUUAAAGCACAGAACUUUUUAAGGAG